rfam:Ovis aries breed Texel chromosome 18, whole genome shotgun sequence.
UCCCUGGUGGUCCAGUGGCUAAGACUCUGUCUUCUCAAGGCAGGGGGCCUGGGUUCGAUCCCUGGUCAGGGUA